rnacentral:rRNA from 1 species
GUCUUUUUGAAAUAAUUUAAAGUCUAAUCUGCCCACUGAUAAAAAUUAAAGGGCUGCAGUAUAAUGACUGUACAAAGGUAGCAUAAUCAAUAGUUUUUUAAUUGAAAACUUGUAUGAAAGAUUUGAUGAAAUAUAGACUGUCUCUAAUUUAUAGAUUGAAUUUUAUUUUUUAGUAAAAAAGCUAAAAUAAAUUUAAAAGACGAGAAGACCCUAUAGAGUUUUAUAUUUAAUUUUAUUUAAAAAUUAUAUAAAAAUUAAUAUUAAAAAUAAAAUUAAAUAUUAUAUUGGGGUGAUAGAAAAAUUAAAUUAACUUUUUUUAAAAAUUAAACAUAAAUAAAUGAUUAUAUGAUCCAUAAAUAAUGAUUAUAAGAAAAAAUUACCUUAGGGAUAACAGCGUAAUAUUUUUUUUUAGUUCAAAUAAAAAAAAAAGUUUGCGACCUCGAUGUUGGAUUAAGAUAAAAUUUAAAUGCAAAAGUUUAAAAAUUUUGAUCUGUUCGAUCAUUAAAAUCUUACA